GUAUAGUCAGAUGAUGUUCUCCCAGGUUACAGUAGGGUCCUGUAUAGUCAGAUGAUGUUCUCCCAGGUUACAGUAGGGUCCUGUAUAGUCAGAUGAUGUUCUCCCAGGUUACAGUAGGGUCCUGUAUAGUCAGAGGAUGUUCUCCCAGGUUACAGUAGGGUCCUGUAUAGUCAGAGGAUGUUCUCCCAGGUUACAGUAGGGUCCUGUAUAGUCAGAGGAUGUUCUCCCAGGUUACAGUAGGCUCCUGUAUAGUCAGAUGAUG